GUGCUGCCCGGGCUACGCCGCGCGGCGCACCACACUACUUGAUAUUAGUGUCGUCUGAGUCUAAAACAUAAUAGUUAAAACUAUUCAACAACGGAUCUCUUGGUUCUGGCAUCGAUGAAGAACGCAGCGAAAUGCGAUAAGUAAUGCGAAUUGCAGAAUUCAGUGAGUCAUCGAAUCUUUGAACGCACAUUGCGCCCCGUGGCAUUCCGCGGGGCAUGCCUGUUCGAGCGUCAUUUCAACCCUCAAGCUCUGCUUGGUGUUGGGCCCCGCCCCGUCUCUUCGCGGGCCGGCCCUAAAACCAGUGGCGGUGCCGCCGGCUCCUAAGCGUAGUAACUUUACACCUCGCUCCAGGCUCCCGGCGGUCGCUUGCCAGCAACCCCAACUCUCCAGGUUGACCUCGGAUCAGGUAGGGAUACCCGCUGAACUUAAGCAUAUCAAUAA
rnacentral:misc_RNA from 1 species